ACAGUUGCUGCCUACGCCGGAUGCCAUGAAAAACAGCAGAAAUAAAAUGGGAUUAGGAAGCAUGGGGAAACCCAAAUCUGCUGCGAGGGAUUAUCCUUUCUAGGAAACACUAACCCAGCUCUUGGGGGCAACACUUGGCCCAAAUUCUCACCACUGCUGCUGAACGCAGUGAAUCCGCAGAGCUGCAACAGAUCAAUGAUGGUUUACUUCAGAGACGCGGCAGAGCAAAAAUUGAGCUUUUUCUGGCUGGAGAGACGCAUAGAUCUCAAAAAAGCAAAAAUUGAGCUUUUUCUGGUUGGAGAGACGCAUAGGUCUCAAAAAAGCAAAAAUUGAGCUUUUUCUGGCUGGAGAGACGCAUAUGUCUCAAAAAAUCCAAUUGGGACUAACUAAUCGAGACCUUUAGUCUCGGUUAUUCCACCCGGGACUAAAGAGGUAUCUUUAGUCCCGGUUCAUAAUACUAACUGGGAUUAAAGGGUUUUGCGCCAAAAAAAAUAGAAAUCCCCGGGAGGCUCCCACACACAUGUAUCGUUCAAGAAUGGGGGAUGGAGUCAUCACAUUAUCUUUGACUAAUGCUGAGUAAGUAUUAUAUUGCAAAAAUUUCU
rnacentral:lncRNA from 1 species